UUCUCUCCCACCCCGAUGCUGAUUUUUCAUAUUCGGACAUUGAUCUGACCGCCUCGCUGCCGGUGCCUCCCCAAGCCGGACGUCGCACGCCGGCCCUGCGCCAUCCCUCGCGCCGCUCCGCCCCGCUACCUUGCUGUACCCGUUCCACGGCAAGGAGCACCGCUUCGCCAUCAGCUUCCGUGACAACGUCCACUUCAUCCGGAGCGACGGGGAAGAAGUACUGGGUGGCCAAGAACUCGUGGGGGUCGGAUUUAUCAUCGGGAUCCGUCGCUGCGUGGGAAGACCUGGGGCACCUGCGGCCUCGCCGUCUCGCCACUCUACCCCACCGUCGAGCUGGCGACCUCACCACGUACGGUCGCCGGCCGGCUCGCCGCCGUCGUCCUCUUCGAUCUCCUUCCGUUAAUUACAGGUUGGCUGGCCGCGUGAUCAUCCGGCCGUGCGUGCGUUGUAACGCGUGGAAUAAUGAAUCAGUAUCGAAUUACGAGAGAUUAA